CCUGAGCCCGAUGAUGUGAUUAAUUAAUAGAUGCGUUAAUUACUUAUGAGCCCGAGCCAUUGCUUCCGCCUAAGCCUAAGCCCCCGAAUCCCAAACCGAUUAUUCCUAAAUCAACAAAACCGAGAAAACCGAGAAAAGCAAUAUGCUGGAGUGAGAAAUUUUACGGGGAAGGCAAACGUAAAACCAUGAACUGGUUCAUCUUCCUCUUCUUCGGCCGAUAUUGACCACAGUGUCAUGUGACAGGAGCCUUGAACGAAUGGUUACCUCGACAAACACACAUCUUUACACAGGUUGCAGGUUUCCGCAACUCACAGCUUACCAAAGACUUUUUCACCAUUUGCUUAUUGUCAAACAGUUACUACUUUUAUUUAUUUGGCUAUCUUUUGCUAAUUUGUGGCUGUUUACAGUUCACUACGACAUAUUCUGUCCUCAAUAUUUGCCACUUUGUCCCACAUUUUGCGAACGCUGUUUAAAGUAUAUGUUCGUGAAUACACACGAUAAGACAUUGAAUGUGUGGUGUAUGUUGGAUUCGGGAAAUUUUACAAUAUUCAAAAGUAUAAAUCGUGUGUGUUUUAAACUUCAAGGUGUGCAUGACAUCUAUGACAAUUACAUAGUAACAAAAAACGUAGGAUUAAAUUUGAUAAUGUCAUCAUUCGUUUUAAAUUAUAUUCA